GCCCUUGGAAUAAUCAAAGGUGAGACCUGCCCAAUGAUUUUUAAAACAAAGUAAUAAUCUAUACUUAAAUAAAAUUUAAAGGACGCGGUAACCUUGACUGUGAUAAUGUAGCAUAAUCAUUUGCCAUUUAAUUGAUGGAUAGUAUGAAUGGUUUAACGAAUAUUACUCUGUCUCAAAAGAAGAUCCUAUGAAAAUGAAAUAAUAGUUAAGAUGCUAUUUAAAAUUGUAAGACGAAAAGACCCUAUAGAGCUUCACUAUAUUCUCUUUUUAUAAUACAAAAUAUAAACUUUUAUAUAAUAAGGAGAAUGGUAGUUUAGUUGGGGCGACUAUCUUCUAAAAAUAACGAAGACAAGCUAUAUUAAUAAUAUAAUUUACUGUAUAAUCAAUAAAUUUAACAGUUAUCAAAAUAGGCAAUAAUGACCCGUUAUAAUUUAGUAAAAAAUAUAACGAAUAAUAAAUAAAAGCUACCUUAGGGAUAACAGGAUAAUUUUAUUUUAGAGAUCUUAUCAAAAAUAAAGUUUGUCACCUCUAUGUUGAAUUGAGAUAUCCAGAUAAUGCAAAAGUAUCAAAGGUA
rnacentral:rRNA from 1 species